rnacentral:rRNA from 1 species
GACGAACGCUGGCGGCGUGCUUAACACAUGCAAGUCGAACGGGCUUCUGGGGUUCUGGCUUUUUUGGUUGGGGUUCUGGGGGUUAGUGGCGAACGGGUGAGUAACACGUGAGUAACCUGCCCUUCACUUCUGGAUAACCGCUUGAAAGGGUGGCUAAUACGGGAUGUUUCUGGGUCUGUCGCAUGGCGGGUUCGGGAAAGAUGGCACUGUUUGGUGUUUUUGGUGGGGGAUGGGCUCGCGGCCUAUCAGCUUGUUGGUGGGGUGAUGGCCUGCCAAGGCUUUGACGGGUCGCCGGCCUGAGAGGGUGGGCGGUCACACUGGGACUGAGAUACGGCCCAGACUCCUACGGGAGGCAGCAGUGGGGAAUAUUGCACAAUGGGCGGAAGCCUGAUGCAGCGACGUCGCGUGAGGGAUGGAGGCCUUCGGGUUGUGAACCUCUUUCGCCAGUGAGGAAGGCCUUGCCCGUGUGGUGGGGUUGACGGUAGCUGGGUUAAUUGAAGCGCCGGCUAACUACGUG